GCAUUGUACAGCGAAACUGCGAAUGGCUCAUUAUAUAAGUUAUCGUUUAUUUGAUAGUACCUUAUUACCUGGAUAACCGUGGUAAUUCUAGAGCUAAUACAUGCUGAAAAUCCCGACUUCGGGAGGGAUGCGUUUAUUAGAUUCAAAGCCAAUGCCCCCCGGGGCUCACUGGUGAUUCAUGAUAACCUCACGAAUCGCAUGGCCUUGCGCCGGCGAUGGUUCAUUCAAAUUUCUUCCCUAUCAACUUUCGAUGUUUGGGUAGCGUCCAAACAUGGUCCCAACGGGUAACGGAGGGUUAGGGCUCGACCCCGGAGAAGGAGCCUGAGAGACGGCUACUACAUCCAAGGAAGGCAGCAGGCGCGCAAAUUACCCAAUCCCGACACGGGGAGGUAGUGACAAUAAAUACUGAUACAGGGCUCUUUUGGGUCUUGUAAUUGGAAUGAGUACAAUUUAAAUCCCUUAACGAGGAACAAUUAGAGGGCAAGUCUGGUGCCAGCAGCCGCGGUAAUUCCAGCUCUAAUAGCGUAUAUUAAAGUUGUUGUGGUUAAAAAGCUCGUAGUUGAACCUGGGGCCUGGCCGGCCGGUCCGCCUCACCGCGUGCACUGGCCCGGCCGGGCCUUUCCCCCCGUGGAACCCCAUGCCCUUCGCUGGGCGUGGCGGGGAUACGGGACGUUUACUUUGAAAAAAUUAGAGUGCUCCAGGCAGGCCUUUGCUCGAAUACAUUAGCAUGGAAUAAUGAAAUAGGACGCGCGGUUCUAUUUUGUUGGUUUCUGGGACCGCCGUAAUGAUUAAUAGGGACAGUCGGGGGCAUCAGUAUUCAAUUGUCAGAGGUGAAAUUCUUGGAUCUAUUGAAGACUAACUACUGCGAAAGCAUUUGCCAAGGAUGUUUUCAUUAAUCAGGAACGAAAGUUAGGGGAUCGAAGACGAUCAGAUACCGUCGUAGUCUUAACCAUAAACUAUGCCGACUAGGGAUCGGACGGUGUUACUCAUUUGACCCGUUCGGCACCUUGCGAGAAAUCAAAGUGCU
rnacentral:rRNA from 1 species